GCGGGAGUAGCUCAGUGGUAGAGCAGGACCUUCCCAAGGUCAAGGUCGCGGGUUCGAGUCCCGUUUCCCGCUCCA
rnacentral:tRNA from 1 species